GAAAGUUAUUGGCAAUACUCCCAGCUAGGGUGCAUUGUCCAGUGAGUUAUCAAAUCUCUGUGCUGCAUUUACUGAACAGAAACAAAAUUACAAAGUCAGAAUUCACACUGUAGUCCUUGCUUUAACUGCUUUCUUUAAAAAGCCUAACAUCAAGAAAACAGCCACUCUUUUACUAACUUUUUAAAAUUUUUGGUGUUUAAAUUAUGGGCUUAACAUUAUCUUAAGACCAAUUAGUUUUUCUGAAAGCAGAUAAUACUUACUCCAGAAUGUAUAUCGUCAUCCCUUUGCUCCCCAAAGUCUAGUAUCUCACACAGGUUCAGAUAGUACCCAUGCAGAGAGACAUGUACAGAAUAACAUAGUGGCAAUAAAUUACAAUUCUGCCAUUGUAUUAGAAGGCCUCAGAGCCUCCAGGCUUCUCAAUUGAAAUUAGAGAUGUUUAUUCCCAACACCAUGAGGAAGGGU